AUACGGAGGGUGCAAGCGUUACUCGGAAUCACUGGGCGUAGAGCGCGCGCAGGCGGUCUUUUAAGUUGGAUGUGAAAGCCUACGGCUCAACCGUAGAACUGCAUCCAAAACUAUUAGACUAGAGUGUGGGAGAGGAAGAUGGAAUUAGUUGUGUAGGGGUAAAAUCCGUAGAGAUAACUAGGAAUACCAAAAGCGAAGGCAAUCUUCUGGAACACUACUGACGCUGAGGCGCGAAAGCGUGGGGAGCAAACAGGAUUAGAAACCCUAGUAGUCC
rnacentral:rRNA from 1 species